UCCGGUAGGGUAACCUGCGGAGGGAUCAUUACACAACAAAAAUAUGAGGGUGUGGUUUGCUGGCAACAGCGUCCGCCCCAAGUAUUUUUCACCCAUGUCUUUUGCGCACUUUUUGUUUCCUGGGCGAGUUCGCUCGCCACCAGGACCCAACCAUAAACCUUUUUUUAUGCAGUUGCAAUCAGCGUCAGUAUAAUAAUUCAAUUUAUUAAAACUUUCAACAACGGAUCUCUUGGUUCUGGCAUCGAUGAAGAACGCAGCGAAAUGCGAUACGUAGUGUGAAUUGCAGAAUUCAGUGAAUCAUCGAAUCUUUGAACGCACAUUGCGCCCUUUGGUAUUCCAAAGGGCAUGCCUGUUCGAGCGUCAUUUGUACCCUCAAGCUUUGCUUGGUGUUGGGCGUCUUUUUGUCUCUCCCCUUGUUGGGGGAGACUCGCCUUAAAACGAUUGGCAGCCGACCUACUGGUUUUCGGAGCGCAGCACAAAUUUGCGCCUUCCAAUCCACGGGGCGGCAUCCAGCAAGCCUUUGUUUUCUAUAACAAAUCCACAUUUUGACCUCGGAUCAGGUAGGGAUACCCGCUGAACUUAAGCAUAUCAAAGC
rnacentral:rRNA from 1 species